UUUCGUGGGAUGAACUCUCAUUUAUCCAAAAGAUCGAAAAAAUCACUUAUACUGACAUAAUUUUAUUAAAUUAAUCGUUUUUUAUCAAAAAUGUGCCGGCUUUACGUUUGGCAGAAGAACUUACUACUGAAGAAACUAUAGGAAAAGAGGAAAGCAGACAUUCCAUAGCGACGCACACGACGAGGAAGUCAGUUAAAAAUACCAGUAAAAUAAUUUUGCAGAUAGUCUCCGGCAGCCUACAAACACAUCCGCAAAAAAUUAAUCCAUAGAAAGAUUUCUUCGUGGCAUACAACAAAAUCGUCAGUUGUGACAACUAGGCGGCGGCGAGAAGCUGAGCUGUUGCUGGUACAAACCGGAUGCGAGAAAUCUGCUUGCAAUGAACCAAAUGGACCUUUUCAGAGUAAAACCACGUAAUUCGUGCAGAUCCACUCUGCUUUCACUUUGACAUCACCCGGCAUCCUAAUGUCGGUUCCAGCUUCUAGCUCAGCUGCUUGCCGUCACUCUGUCAGCAGUCUUACAUAUAUUGCAGUGUCACUGACGAAGGAUGUGAGAAAACGCAUGCCAUCUGAUACAUAAGUUGCCGUAAAACAAAGCCUAAUAAAUAAACUGCAGAAGCCUCACGAAUUUUACAUUGAUCUAUGACUAUUGUAAUGGCUGUAAUGAUCUGUGACGUCAAUGAUCUUUGAACGUCGUAUAUUGUGAUUGGUGUGACCACGUAGUUCUUUCUUGAAGAUCGACGGUACACGUGAUCGACUUAAUGCUGCACACAGUACUGGUUAUUGAAUUAUCGAAAACUAGCAUCGACAGCCUCUAUGGUACCUGGGGGUUCCGAAUGAAGUCUUCACCGAUUCAUAAUCAUCCUUCGAUAAUACCGUAUUUCCACUCCAUCUGCCGGGUGUGUCCGUAGUAUUUAAAGGAACCAAGAUGUUAAGCCAAAAGGAUCCAAACAAAUUGCAGCAUGAAAAAAAACUAGAAAUAUUUCUUCACAUCUUGUUACGAGCGGUAGGGAAGUGACUUGUACAUGAACCGAAGACAUUUCGCAAUACUUUUUUUUAAAUUUUCAUUUACGUGUCUUUAAAUCGCAAUACUCUACCGGCCCAACGGUUUGAGGCCAAGAAUAUCUCAGAUCAACGCACGCACAGGGAUCGGUUGGAUAUUAAGCUAAAAGAAAUGAAUGAGUUUUUCUGGAGAGCACCAUCGGUGAAUAAAACAGGAAUUAUUUAUUUGUUGAAUUGUUUAAAAGCUAAUAUAUUUAUUUUACAGUUAGCAUCA